rnacentral:tRNA from 1 species
GGCAGCAUGGUGUAGUGGUUUCAGUGUUGGACUACCACUCUGGAGACCUGCGUUUGAUUCCCUACUCUGCCA